rnacentral:rRNA from 1 species
ACGCACGCUGGCGGCGUGCUUCACACCUGCAAGUCGCACGGAAAGGCCCCAGCUUGCUGGGGUACUCGAGUGGCGAACGGGUGAGUAACACGUGGGUGAUCUGCCCUGCACUCUGGGAUAAGCCUGGGAAACUGGGUCUAAUACCGGAUAGGACCGUGCUUUAGUGUGUGCGGUGGAAAGUUUUUCGGUGCAGGAUGAGCCCGCGGCCUAUCAGCUUGUUGGUGGGGUAAUGGCCUACCAAGGCGGCGACGGGUAGCCGGCCUGAGAGGGUGUACGGCCACAUUGGGACUGAGACACGGCCCAGACUCCUACGGGAGGCAGCAGUGGGGAAUAUUGCACAAUGGGCGCAAGCCUGAUGCAGCGACGCCGCGUGGGGGAUGACGGCCUUCGGGUUGUAAACCCCUUUCGGCAGGGACGAAGCUUUUGUGACGGUACCUGCAUAAGAAGCACCGGCUAACUACGUG